rnacentral:rRNA from 1 species
UACGUAGGGGGCAAGCGUUGUUCGGAAUUACUGGGCGUAAAGGGCGCGUAGGCGGCCUCUGCAAGUCGACUGUGAAAUCUCCGGGCUUAACCCGGAAAGGUCAGCCGAUACUGCAGGGCUAGAGUGCAGAAGGGGCAACUGGAAUUCUCGGUGUAGCGGUGAAAUGCGUAGAUAUCGAGAGGAACACCUGCGGCGAAGGCGGGUUGCUGGGCUGACACUGACGCUGAAGUGCGAAAGCUAGGGGAGCGAAUGGG